rnacentral:lncRNA from 1 species
AAACAUGUACUUUUCAUUAGUAGCUAGAUAGGGUUGUUUAUUUUCACGUCAUAUCUGAAUCAACGAAUGGCACUGCUAAUCAUAAUCUAGUGCAUUUGAACUUCAAAUAAUUCGAAUUUCAUAAAAUUUUUCGUAUCAUUUGUCCAAUUAUCAAGUAGUUUCAAAAUUGACUAUUUUUAAUAGAACGACAUUUCAUUUUCAGAAACGACGUCCAAAUAAACGCCUUUGUUUACUUCUAGAAGUAUUUUAGCUAGGUUUGCU